AGCGAACGCUGGCGGCAGGCCUAACACAUGCAAGUCGAACGAACCUUUCGGGGUUAGUGGCGGACGGGUGAGUAACCCGUGGGAACGUGCCUUUAGGUUCGGAAUAACUCAGGGACACUUGUGCUAAUACCGAAUGUGCCCUUCGGGGGAAAGAUUUAUCGCCUUUAGAGCGGCCCGCGUCUGAUUAGCUAGUUGGUUGAGGUAAUGGCUCACCAAGGCGACGAUCAGUAGCUGGUCUGAGAGGAUGAUCAGCCACAUUGGGACUGAGACACGGCCCAAACUCCUACGCGAGGCAGCAGUGGGGAAUCGUGCGCAAUGGGCGAAAGCCUGACGCAGCCAUGCCGCGUGAAUGAUGAAGGUCUUAGGAUUGUAAAAUUCUUUCACCGGGGACGAUAAUGACGGUACCCGGAGAAGAAGCCCCGGCUAACUUCGUG
rnacentral:rRNA from 1 species